rnacentral:sRNA from 1 species
GCAAAGUGUUCCGCUAAAUACUCAGAAUGUGCGAAGUGUUCCAUUAAGGAUAAAGUUUGGGAAACACUGAUCUAGACCACUCUUUUAUUGGAAACAUUCAGGAUUUAAAGUUUUUCAAAAUCGUUUAGCGUUCUACAAUGGCAGUCAUUUUAAGUAAAAGCUGGAGAAUGAGUCUUCUACACUAACCAGAAAGGAGAAUCAUUUUUACUUAUCAAAAUAUAAUUACCCCUUAGUAGGACAAAACAUUCGUAUUUGUUUAGGAAUUCUGUAAACAAUUAAGUUCAAGAAAACGAAAUCAAAUUCAAUUAAAAAGAAACCAAAUUAAAUAUCCAGAAACCAAAUCGAAUAUGAGCAAAUCUAUUCGAUUAAACGAGCAUACUGUGUGUGUGUGUAGAUAUAUGUUAUUAAAUGUUUAUAAGAAAAAACUGGGCUUUAAUAUAAGCAAAUGAACUUCUGUUUAGCGAGGUUUGACAAUAGCACUUCGAAUUAGGCUCGGACAGAGAAAAAGAAACACAUAUCUUGACGUUUUGAUUCUGUUUUGGCUCAAGUAGUAACCAUUCAUUUAGAUGUUGUUGUUUUUCUAUUAUUAUUAUAUAGACAUUGUACAUUAUUAUUUCUUCCUUCUUUUACAAUAUUGUAAUGAAGUUAUCAUUUGCUCUUUUCUCCGUGUGUUCAAUAUGAAACCACUCCCUAUUAAUAGAAACGGGAGAGCGACUUUAUAGCAUAGAUUGAAUUAGAUUCUAGACGCUUAGAUCUAGAUCAUGAUCCAGCUCUACCAUGGGAAGUACAUAAAAAAAAUAAAUGGUUAGUUCCGUUUUAGCCAAUUCUUUGAAUAUAAAUAGGCUAUUCUCCCUUUGAGAAUUGGACUAAUUAAAGAGAUAAUGCUGACGCAUGACGAUGAUACGUUGUUAAAAUAUUUCUUUCACUUUUUUGUUUAAUAAUUCAUCGUGUUUUCUUUCAUACUAUAAAUUCCACAAACACGGGUAGAGUGACAAGGUAAGGCGUUUUUUUUAAACCUUAUAAUAUUGAAAUUUGUUUUAACCAUAAUUGGGUUUGUUUUUUCCGCCCCAUCAUUUCUUACGACGCUAAACGUUACCGAGUAUCACCGGGGUAGUUUAUCUGGGCGAAACGCUCAAAGUUUAGCAUAGGCCGCCCUAAGUCGUAGAACGACUAUGGUUCAUCUCGAACACUUUUUCAUGUGACUGUGGAGACCUAUUUUGGAGAGACACCCCCGUCCACAUAUAUCGAGGGUUAAGGCGAGUUGCCAGUAAGGAAUGACUUUUGGGAUGCGAUUGUCCUCCAUUCGGUGAACAUGUCCAAAUCAGCGCAGGCGGCGUUGUCUGAGGGCUGUAAAGAUGCUGGGAAGACCCGUUCGAGCAAGGAUCUCAGUUUUGCACAAUCUCUCUUGCCAUGUGAUUUUCUAGAUCCUUCGGAGGCAUUGCAAGUGGAAUGAGUUUAGGCCACCCUAGCUUCAGAUUUAUAUCAUUUACUGGAAACAAAAAUAAGAGGGAGCUAACGAUGGCGGCUAAACGAAGCGACACUAUCAUUCUCUAUGUAACUCGCCAUGUUACUACAUUGAUUUUGUUUAUGUUACAUUAUUUCUGUUAUAAUUUAACGGUGUACAGUGGCCUAUGGGGUUAGGUUUAGAGUAGAACAACUAUAAUGUUUUCCUUUUAUAAUUUCUUAAUUGGAUUAGAUUUGGUUACAUUUUGUUAGACUCGGCAAGGUUUGGCAUUUUUCUUUUCAACUUGUAAAACAAUAGGCCUAUAAUUGAUCAAGUUCUACAACCCAGCCUGUUGAAUGCUUACAUUUUUUAUAUACCCUUUGAACUUAACAUUUUUUUCCCAAGAUAUCAUUCAAUAGUUUUAUUUAUUCAAAUACCAUUAACCAUUUCAAUGUCCGAUUGGGCCUUUUGCUUAGAUUAGAAAAGGCUAAUAUCUUUUUGUAUUAUAUGAUAAAAAUGUAAUUAUUAGUAUUACUUUCAUAUUUAUAUAAAUUUUUCAUUAAAAAAAAAGAUUUCCUUUAACCAAGUCAUUUAAACUUUUUUUUAAAAACUGAAAUAUUGGAGCAAAGAACCAAGACAGAUUGGCCAUUGCUAACAUAUCCCAAUAUAGUUAAACAGAAUAGCACCUGCCCAUCGUCUUCCCUUGUGGUUCAUAGGAGGUCACGUGACCUUAUAAAAUUGUAUUUAAAAAACAACUUUUGUGGGAAUGGGGGAGUGAAGACCCCAAAUUUUUCAAAGUCUGGGUUCUGAAAUGACAAACUCUUGGUUUAUGUCAUCACAUAGCGCGAAUCAUGAAGCAAACAUCUAGACUAACAGUAGCUAAAUAUAGUCCCAAAAGGCAUGUCUCGCGACAAUCACGAUCUGUUUGUUGAGUGUAUCGUUACGCCAAUAUCUUCCAGUCUACGCCAAAGUAAAUCAUACUUAAGGAAAGAAAAAAAAAGGUCACCCAGAAAGUUGUAAUUCUUUGUGCCAUAGGGGUUUAUAACAUGCAGAAAGUGCUUUUUUAAGUAUUAUGAUACAUAUUGUAGAGUACAUUUUGCGUGGGAGAAUAUUCAUAAGUUGUGUUUUAGUUUUAGGGUUGAGACCAAAGAAGUAUCUGUAGUAGGUUUUUGUCUAACGUAAUGUUUUAGUUUUAGGGUUGAGACCAAAUAAGUAUCUGUAGUAGGUUUUUGUCUAACGUAAUGUUUUAGUUUUAGGGUUGAGACCAAAUAAGUAUCUGUAGUAGGUUUUUGUCUAACGUAAUGUUUUAGUUUUGCUGUCUUAAAAAAAUAAUAUCUAGACUAACUUUAACUUUUAUUAAAUCUGUCAAACGUAUGUUAUGAUUUUACAAAUAUCGAUUUCACUGCAGUCAGAUAUUUUAUUUGUUUUUUGUUGGUUUAGGCACAAUUCUAUUCCAAGACACAGUUAAAGCUAUAACAAGUUCAUGCCCGGUUCCCAUUUUUUUUAUCAUUUCGUAUAAUUUACUAAUUUAUGAGAGUAUUAUGAUUAUAAUAAAUAUAUUUUACACU